GGAUAGCUCACUUGGUUAGAGCGUGGUGCUGUUAACACCACGUUCACGGGUUCAAUCCCCAUAAGGGACA